AGAGAAGUUAUAUAUAUAUCAAGGAAACUUACUAACCAACUAGCUAUACUGGUGCACAGCUGUCGUUGACCAUUCCUACAUGGUGACAUAUGGACUGACACAGCUGGCUAGCUUGAUAGCAAUUCAGUCCCCCCAUGCGAGGAUUCUGUAGGAAUUAAAGAUGAUCCCCGCUGCUUUCCAGAGGAGGGGCACGGAACAGGAUGCAGUGGCUUCAAACUCUACUGAAGAAAAUUACAUAAGCAACAGAGCACAACAAGAUCUGCCUCGAGAGAAAGAAACACCUGCAACCUGUUGAGAUGGAUUACUGCUCAUUGGCUGACAGACAGUUCCUGUAGCGAUGCCUCUCUCCCUAAUAUAAAAUAGGAAGAGGACCUUUGGUCUCAACCUGGCCCCACUGCAGAGAGAGGAAGCUUCCCCUCCCUCUCACCUUUCACACAGAGGACAUCUGGCUCAUCUGGCCUCCCGGCCCUACGUCUACAUGCUUAGUGAAGAUGGGUUAAGGAGGGGUUGCUGAAAUAUACAGUCACCUCAAAUAAUUGGCACCCUUGAUAAAGAUGAGCAAAAAAGACUAUAAAAUAAUACAAAUACCAAGCUAUAUCGAAUGUGCAUUUCUUGGGGAAAAUUGUACUAUUAUAUUCUAAUACAAAUGCAAUUGUAUUAGUAUAAGAUCAUAUAAAUUCCCCCUUUUUUUGUAUACAAUAUAGCUUGGUAUUUGAUGAAUGAUGAGAGAAACACACUGACAGUCCUGAGUAGAGGGAAAGAGUAUCUGUGUCUCGUCUGCACUUGCCAGUGGAUAACAGGUUCAGUGGUGUUAGAAGUAGUUGACAGAGAUAAAGUUUUUCCAAUUCCACUCGACUGUGUGUGCAAGUAAAUGUGUGUUUUUGUGUGGGCAGGUGUGUGGUUAAGUGUUUUAUAAGUGUAUUCAUAUAAACCCUUUGAACCUUCCCAUCAUGCAAUGCUAUAUGAAGCUGUAGUCACAACAGAACGUAGGCAUGGCUGUUUUUCAGUAAAUCUUUGACCCUGUUGUGAUCCAUCUCCCCAGCCCUAUUUCGGGUUGCCAAGGGGGAACUGGUUCCUGUGGGGAUUCUUCAGCACUACCUUUGGUCUUCAUGCCCCGCUCCUCUUUGAUUUCCUGUGUCUGUGUCAAACACCCACCACUCCAUAUUAAUCAUUGCACUAUUUAUAUACUUAGCAAGCACCCUUUAACUAGGAGCUUGGAACCCAGUGUGGGUUAGAGCCCUGCACGGGCAUGAAUUUUAAGACCGAGCUCUACCCCAUUGCCUGUGAUAUUCAGGCCCUACCCUACCCAGGCCGGAUUGCUUCUGCCAAAAUUAGAGCUCGGCCCUGCCAAAAACCCUAAAUAACUUCCUGUUAGUAAAUCCAUUAGCUGCUCCUCUGUCUGUCACUCGCUUUUAAACAUUCACCUCUUGGAGAGACAGAGAAACAAAUGACUUGGAUUGACAAAGGGUCAAGAUUUAUGGCACCCUCUCUCUCCAGCCUUGUGUGAGAAUCUGCCCGGCUUUGACCGUAUCAGAUCUGCACUGGCGCCACAUGGUCAUAAAUGACUCUGAGCAUGAGCAAGCUGGGAUUACUCUAGAAGCGUGCCCAUGGCAGCACAAUAAAACACCUUAACACUAUGGACAACACUGUGGUAGCGUGUGCAUGAAAAAUUCCAUGUCCACCAACAACAAUUGAAACCACUUCUUCAAAAGUAUUGCAACCAAUGCAAUAAUAACACUUAUAGCAGUACGGAAUAACACUACAUACGAUAAGCAAUACGCAAAGCAGCAUUGCCAGCUCUAACAUUAAAGAAUAUUAACAGCCAUACAGUAGGACAUAUGGCUGAAACUUAUCAAAGUAACAUGAAGUAAAUCAUAAAAUCCCCAAUAAACCACCCUGCAACUUACAUUUCGAUGCACGCACAACAUUCAGACAUUCGUAUUACUGUCGACAAUAAAAAAAGGAGAGGAGAGCAGCAGGUUGGCCUUUUUUACAGUGAGUAACCAUAGCAACGGCUCCGUCUUAAAAUGUCCCUUCACUGUC